GCAGAAUUUUAAUAGUUCUGCAACUGUUUUUUCAAUGUAGAAAGCAGAGGAAAGAAGAACCACAACAUACUUGAGGAAUAUUUUUGAGAAUGCAAAAAAGGUGCUUUCCAAUCUUGCUGCAUGGAACUUGGAGGAAAGGCUAGUUCCUCUCUUUCAAGAGGAAGACUACCAGCAGCGAUUAUUAAUCGGACUAGUAAGUGUUUCGUUACAUUCAGCGCAGUAGAAGACACGCAACCUUAAUCAAUGUAAAGAAUAAGUUUGAUAGUAUUUAUUUGUAGUUUUUCUUGCUAAGUCUUUUAUUCAGUGAUUCACUAGAAGAUCACUUAGGCCAGUG
rnacentral:lncRNA from 1 species